rnacentral:piRNA from 1 species
UGCUGUCAUUCACAUCGUCCGUGGUGUGC